UCAACAAGUUAUAACAGUGCAGUAAAUGACCCCACACAAGAGUGCUAGGCCAAAGAUAGAUAAAAUGCAAGUUUUGAGAAAAAAACGAUUUUAAAAAUAAGUGCA